AGCUUUGCGCAGUGGCAGUAUCAUAGCUAAUGAGGUUUAUCCGAGGCACGAUUAUUGCUAAUUGAAAAACAGAAUGAUAAUAGGGUCUACCUCAUAGUCUCGUUAUGAGGAUUAAAUGGGAUAAUAUUCAUCAAUUACAACAGUAU